GGAUUUUGGCAACACAUAUAUUAAAAUCACAAUAAUACAGAGACUAUUAGCAUGACCCCUUCCCAAGGAUGACACUC
rnacentral:snRNA from 14 species